UUUUUUUUUUUUUUUUUUGGGGGGGGGGGGGUGUUGUUAGGCAAUAUUAUUUCAGCAAUGGUUGAUUAACACACUAUCUAACGCCCUGAGCCAAGCACUAGGGCACUGCUUUCUGGUCUUAGAGGCCUUUGUCAGGGGGUAGGUUUUGUCUGCUUCACUGUAGUCUCUGUUUUCCAGAGGAAGGACUAUGGAUUUGUAGCUUAGUCUGACUAAACAAAUGUGGGCUUAUUUUAAUGGUUGACCAUGCCCACCGGAUAUAAAAAUGCAAGAGCUGUCAGAGGAUAUGUGUCCUAUUAGUCUUUGCCUAUUCAAGAACAAUUUUUAAAACUUCAAUACUUGUUUAAAAAAAAAAAAAGAAAGCUGAUUUUUGGAUCCGUGGAAUCCUUAUUGGAAUGGUCACAGGUAAUGUGCCAUGACUUGCAGGGAAUGCAUCUCCAAGGUGACCACGAUGGCCCUUUGCAGGAGCCUGUUGCAGAGGAGGCCCCCAUGUAGAUGGGAGGAGUAGAAAAGGAAAAGAGAAUGGAGAGAGGUCGUUCACAAGGUGGGAGGCAAGGAUCACUACUGCUUGGUGUGUGAGCCUAGACAGAGGGCCUUUGGCCCCAUGCCCUGGUGCUUCCUGUGCCGACAAUGGGGAGAAUGACAAGGAAAUGUCUAGGACCACUACCUGCUAGUGACUGAUGACUUUUUCAGGAGCUCGAUCUAUAAAGUGGGGCCAGCAUCACCUAUGUUGGAAAGUUGCUGUAUGGAGUUGAGGUGUUGGAGGCUCCCACCUGCCACUGGGAGCUACUAUAAUUGCCUUUGGCAGCUAACCCAAUACAAAAACAGCCACGAUGACAAAUUUGAAAUUAAAGCUUUUAUGGAUACAAAGACAUUGCUAAUGAGGAGCGCCUCUUGGAAGGGACAAAGAGGAACCUAGAGAGACUUCUCACGACACAUCCUUUUUUCUUUCCCUAAUCCAUGUGUAUGCAUUACGAUUUUAAAAUACAAACAAGACGCUUAGAAUGCAAGACUUUUUUUUUAUAAACGACUUUCAUAAUUAGAAAGCUCGACACAUCAUCUUUCCUCAAUAAGCGAACAUCUGACAAAUGUAAACUCACUUCAUCUAUCAGUUAGAUGCUUGAGAAACACUGGAGUCUUUAAUCACAUGGAUUCCUACACGGCAAAGGCUUUUUUUCUAUUUGAACUACAACACAAAGGCAAUAUUUAGGAACAGCACACAUCAGAAGAAAUCAUGCUCAAGCAUUCUGUUCAUGUCGAAAACAAUCUAAGAAACGCAAGCAGUUUAAAAUCAAAUACCGUAUUUUCAUAAGCUGUUCUGACUGGCAGGGGUUGUAAACUAUAGCUUAGGGACCAAACCCAGCCUAUUAAAAAACAAAAGAAAAAAAAAGAAAAAAACCCCACACAACACAAAACCUUUCUACUGAGACCUGUAGGUCCAUAAUGCAGUUGUACAAAGUAACAGAGAGAUCCCUUGUACCCUCUGCUCAGGCUUUCCCGGGGCAAUCCACCACCUGUUUUUGCACAAUCCCGGAGCUAAGAGCGGUUUUUAGAUUUUUAAAUGCUUGAGAAAACAAAUCAAAGAAAGUAUUUUGUGACGUGGAAAAUUACAUGAAGCUCAUUUCACUGUCCAUAAAGAUUACCUCGAGCACAACUAUGCAUUCCUUUACGUAUUGUCCACGGCUGCCUUUAUACUACGAGGUCAGAGUUGAAUUGUUGCAACAGAGACGGAAUGGCCACAAAGCCUAAGAUAUUUACUACCUGGUUUACAAAAAAGUUUGCCGACCCCUGGGUUAGAGACUGGGUGAGGGUCAGGGAAGAAAUGAGUAUCUGGAAUAAAGAUUUUUUUCUUUCAAAGGCUGCACAUUUCUAAAGGACAUUUGCAACCAUGGAUGCCCUCAGAUACCGAUAUUAGAGAUGUCUUUCUGCACCUGGGGAUGGAGGGAUGGAAGAGGCAAAUGCAUCUAGUUUUUCUCAAAAUCCAGAGAUGUCUGUUUUAAAAGAACUCUACAGGGGGAAUCAGUUUCUCUUACUCAUAAAGGGAUCUUUUACCAAAAUGAAAAGAAAUGAAGGUAGGUUGUUUCAAAUCCAUAGGUAACCACCAAUACAAGUGAAACACUAUUCCCCUCCUGGGACACUUAACACUAACAAGGGCAGAGGACUGUACACUGAAUACUAGAAUUAACUGUGUCAUUCAUGUUACCCGUGUGGCUUUGGCCAAAAGCUACACUCUGUGUUAGGCUGAAGACAGUCUUUUGCAACCUUUUAAGAAACAUAUGGUACAAUGUGAGUGGGUACAGUGGCUUGAGAACUUCAGAAUUGUUUGACACACGUACAAUCUGUGUCUUCAAUGGAUCAAAGUCCCUAGAACUAAGGAGUGAGGAUUGAGUCAUGUUAAAGAGCUGCUUAUUAGGAAAAGACCAUGCACUGUACCACAAAGAGGGCAUUUGGUGAAGCCCUCCUAAUGCAAAGUAUUUUGGGCAGGGCUGGUGGGGCUAAGUUUUUUUCUUUUUUAAAAUGUUAUUUAUUCAUUAAAGAGAGGCAGAGACACAGGCAAAGGGAGAAGUAGGCUUCAUGCAGGGAGCCUGCUGUGGGACUCAGUCCCGGGAACCUGAGACCACAAGGAGCCAAAUGCAGAUGCUCAACUGCCGAGCCACCUAGGUGUCCCUUUUUUGUUGUUGUUUUAAGAUUUAUUUUACAGGAGGAGAGAGAGAAUCUCUCUCCAAGCAGACUCCUUGUUCAAGCAGACACAUUGCUCUCCAAUGGGGGGUUUUAUCCCAGGACCCAGACCAUGACCUGAACUGAAACCAAGAGUCAGAAGCCUAGCCAACUGUGCCCCCCGGGGGGUAAUUUUUCAAAUGCUGGUGCUACUAGAUCUAGUUAUGAUGGAAGCAACUGCAAAUUCAAAUUUGACCACAGACACCAGAUCCUGGAAACUGCAUUAGCAUGAAAGGUCUUCACACAGGGGUAAGGGGACCAUGGAUGGAAUUUACAGGGUCCAGGGGACCUGGACAGGAAAGAAGAAUUGAUUGCACUAGCCUCUAACUGAAAUCAAGCAUUUCUGUCAAUUCUGGAUAUACGUACCACACCAUGGUAGCAUUAGCAAGUCAAAGUCAGUCAGGUAUUUUCAUAUGACGUAUGAAAUAUAUCAUUUUUCAGGUUCUAGUUAUCUUGAAACACCAUUACUACUUCAAAAUAGAUACUAGAUCUGCUGCUAGAACUUAUUUAAUGCACUAAGUGUACAUAAUUCAAAAAAUAUUUUGAUAACUAUUUCAAAAUUUUUUUUAAAGAUUUUUAUUCAUGAGAGACAGGCAGAGACAGAGGGAGAAGCAGGCUCCCCAUGGGGAGCCUGAUGCUGGACUCCAUCCCAGGACCAUGCCCUGAGCCAAAGGCAGACAUGCCAACCACUGAGCCUCCCAAGUGCCCCUAUAAUUGUUUUCUAUUAAGCAUCACUCAGAAGGUUUUCAUAGACUUCAUUGGACUGAAAGAGGUCCCGGACUCAAAAAAAAAAAAAAAAAAAAAAAAAAAG
rnacentral:lncRNA from 1 species